UACGUAGGGUGCAAGCGUUGUCCGGAAUUAUUGGGCGUAAAGAGCUCGUAGGCGGUCUGUCGCAUCUGCUGUGAAAACUCGGGGCUUAACCCCGGGCCUGCAGUGGGUACGGGCAGACUAGAGUGCGGUAGGGGAGACUGGAAUUCCUGGUGUAGCGGUGAAAUGCGCAGAUAUCAGGAGGAACACCGGUGGCGAAGGCGGGUCUCUGGGCCGUAACUGACGCUGAGGAGCGAAAGCGUGGGAGCGAACAGG
rnacentral:rRNA from 1 species